rnacentral:rRNA from 1 species
GAACGCUGGCGGCAGGCCUAACACAUGCAAGUCGAGCGGUAGCACAGAGAGCUUGCUCUCGGGUGACGAGCGGCGGACGGGUGAGUAAUGUCUGGGAAACUGCCUGAUGGAGGGGGAUAACUACUGGAAACGGUAGCUAAUACCGCAUAACGUCGCAAGACCAAAGUGGGGGACCUUCGGGCCUCAUGCCAUCAGAUGUGCCCAGAUGGGAUUAGCUAGUAGGUGGGGUAACGGCUCACCUAGGCGACGAUCCCUAGCUGGUCUGAGAGGAUGACCAGCCACACUGGAACUGAGACACGGUCCAGACUCCUACGGGAGGCAGCAGUGGGGAAUAUUGCACAAUGGGCGCAAGCCUGAUGCAGCCAUGCCGCGUGUAUGAAGAAGGCCUUCGGGUUGUAAAGUACUUUCAGCGGGGAGGAAGGCGAUAAGGUUAAUAACCUUGUCGAUUGACGUUACCCGCAGAAGAAGCACCGGCUAACUCCGUGCCAGCAGCCGCGGUAAUACGGAGGGUGCAAGCGUUAAUCGGAAUUACUGGGCGUAAAGCGCACGCAGGCGGUCUGUCAAGUCGGAUGUGAAAUCCCCGGGCUCAACCUGGGAACUGCAUUCGAAACUGGCAGGCUAGAGUCUUGUAGAGGGGGGUAGAAUUCCAGGUGUAGCGGUGAAAUGCGUAGAGAUCUGGAGGAAUACCGGUGGCGAAGGCGGCCCCCUGGACAAAGACUGACGCUCAGGUGCGAAAGCGUGGGGAGCAAACAGGAUUAGAUACCCUGGUAGUCCACGCCGUAAACGAUGUCGAUUUGGAGGUUGUGCCCUUGAGGCGUGGCUUCCGGAGCUAACGCGUUAAAUCGACCGCCUGGGGAGUACGGCCGCAAGGUUAAAACUCAAAUGAAUUGACGGGGGCCCGCACAAGCGGUGGAGCAUGUGGUUUAAUUCGAUGCAACGCGAAGAACCUUACCUGGUCUUGACAUCCACAGAACUUAGCAGAGAUGCUUUGGUGCCUUCGGGAACUGUGAGACAGGUGCUGCAUGGCUGUCGUCAGCUCGUGUUGUGAAAUGUUGGGUUAAGUCCCGCAACGAGCGCAACCCUUAUCCUUUGUUGCCAGCGGUUCGGCCGGGAACUCAAAGGAGACUGCCAGUGAUAAACUGGAGGAAGGUGGGGAUGACGUCAAGUCAUCAUGGCCCUUACGACCAGGGCUACACACGUGCUACAAUGGCAUAUACAAAGAGAAGCGACCUCGCGAGAGCAAGCGGACCUCAUAAAGUAUGUCGUAGUCCGGAUUGGAGUCUGCAACUCGACUCCAUGAAGUCGGAAUCGCUAGUAAUCGUAGAUCAGAAUGCUACGGUGAAUACGUUCCCGGGCCUUGUACACACCGCCCGUCACACCAUGGGAGUGGGUUGCAAAAGAAGUAGGUA